rnacentral:sRNA from 1 species
GCUGGGCAUGGUAGUGCACAUCUGUAAUCCCAGCUACUCAGGAGGCUGAGGCAGGAAGAUCACAAGUUCAAGGCCAGACUGGGCAACUUAGAGAGACCCUGUCUCAA